rnacentral:rRNA from 1 species
UCAAGUAAUUAAGUGCAUGUGGUGGAUGCCUUGGCAGUCAGAGGCGAUGAAAGACGUGAUAGCCUGCGAAAAGCUCCGGGGAGGCGGCAAAUAUCCUUUGAUCCGGAGAUGUCUGAAUGGGGGAACCCACCUACUUUAAGGUAGGUAUUGCAACAUGAAUACAUAGUGUUGCAAGGCGAACGAGGGGAAGUGAAACAUCUCAGUACCCUUAGGAAAAGAAAUCAAUUGAGAUUCCCUCAGUAGCGGCGAGCGAACGGGGAUCAGCCCAUUAAGUUAUGUGUGUUUUAGUGGAACGCUCUGGGAAGUGCGAACGUAGAGGGUGAUAUUCCCGUACACGAAAGGGCACACAUAAUGAUGACGAGUAGGGCGAGGCACGUGAAACCUUGUCUGAAUAUGGGGGGACCAUCCUCCAAGGCUAAAUACUCCUGACUGACCGAUAGUGAACCAGUACCGUGAGGGAAAGGCGAAAAGAACCCCUGUGAGGGGAGUGAAAUAGAUCCUGAAACCGCAUGCAUACAAGCAGUGGGAGCACCUUCGUGGUGUGACUGCGUACCUUUUGUAUAAUGGGUCAGCGACUUAUAUUCAGUAGCGAGGUUAACCGUAUAGGGGAGCCGUAGAGAAAUCGAGUCUUAAUAGGGCGUUUAGUUGCUGGGUAUAGACCCGAAACCAGGCGAUCUAUCCAUGAGCAGGUUGAAGGUUGGGUAACACUAACUGGAGGACCGAACCCACUGUCGUUGAAAAGCCAGGGGAUGACUUGUGGAUAGGGGUGAAAGGCUAAUCAAGCCUGGUGAUAGCUGGUUCUCCCCGAAAGCUAUUUAGGUAGCGCCUCGGACGAAUACCAUAGGGGGUAGAGCACUGUUUCGGCUAGGGGGUCAUCCCGACUUACCAAACCGAUGCAAACUCCGAAUACCUAUGAGUACUAUCCGGGAGACAGACUGCGGGUGCUAACGUCCGUAGUCAAGAGGAAAACAAUCCAGACCGCCAGCUAAGGCCCCAAAAUCAUAGUUAAGUGGGAAACGAUGUGGGAAGGCAUAGACAGCUAGGAGGUUGGCUUAGAAGCAGCCACCCUUUAAAGAAAGCGUAAUAGCUCACUAGUCGAGUCGGCCUGCGCGGAAGAUGUAACGGGGCUAAAACUAUGUGCCGAAGCUGCGGAUGUAUACUUUGUAUACGUGGUAGGGGAGCGUUCUGUAAGCCGAUGAAGGUGUGUUGAGAAGCAUGCUGGAGGUAUCAGAAGUGCGAAUGCUGACGUGAGUAACGACAAAACGGGUGAAAAACCCGUUCGCCGAAAGACCAAGGGUUCCAGUCCAACGUUAAUCGGGGCUGGGUGAGUCGACCCCUAAGGCGAGGCCGAAAGGCGUAGUCGAUGGGAAAAUGGUUAAUAUUCCAUUACUUCUGUGUAAUGCGAUGAGAGGAUGGAGAAGGCUAAAUCAGCCUGGCGUUGGUUGUCCAGGUGAAAGGAUGUAGGCAUGUAUCUUAGGCAAAUCCGGGGUACUCUAUGCUGAGAUCUGAUAGCAAGCUGUACUUGUACAGCGAAGUGGUUGAUGCCAUGCUUCCAGGAAAAGUCUCUAAGCUUCAGUUACACAGGAAUCGUACCCGAAACCGACACAGGUGGUCAGGUCGAGUAGACCAAGGCGCUUGAGAGAACUCUGCUGAAGGAACUAGGCAAAAUGGUACCGUAACUUCGGGAGAAGGUACGCUGUUGUUGGUGAUGGAACUCGCUUCCUGAGCUGACGACAGCCGCAGAAACCAGGCCGCUGCAACUGUUUAUUAAAAACAUAGCACUCUGCAAACACGAAAGUGGACGUAUAGGGUGUGAUGCCUGCCCGGUGCUGGAAGGUUAAUUGAUGGGGUUAGCGUAAGCGAAGCUCUUGAUCGAAGCCCCAGUAAACGGCGGCCGUAACUAUAACGGUCCUAAGGUAGCGAAAUUCCUUGUCGGGUAAGUUCCGACCUGCACGAAUGGCAUAAUGAUGGCGGCGCUGUCUCCAGCAGAGGCUCAGUGAAAUCGAAAUCGCUGUGAAGAUGCAGUGUACCCGCGGCUAGACGGAAAGACCCCGUGAACCUUUACUGCAGCUUGACACUGAACUUUGACCUUACUUGUGUAGGAUAGGUGGGAGGCUUUGAAGCUGGAACGCUAGUUCCAGUGGAGCCGUCCUUGAAAUACCACCCUGGUAAUGUUGAGGUUCUAACUCUGUCCCGUGAUCCGGGACGAGGACCGUGUCUGGUGGGUAGUUUGACUGGGGCGGUCUCCUCCUAAAGAGUAACGGAGGAGUACGAAGGUGCGCUCAGCGUGGUCGGAAAUCACGCGUAGAGUAUAAAGGCAAAAGCGCGCUUAACUGCGAGACCCACAAGUCGAGCAGGUACGAAAGUAGGUCUUAGUGAUCCGGUGGUUCUGUAUGGAAGGGCCAUCGCUCAACGGAUAAAAGGUACUCUGGGGAUAACAGGCUGAUACCGCCCAAGAGUUCAUAUCGACGGCGGUGUUUGGCACCUCGAUGUCGGCUCAUCUCAUCCUGGGGCUGAAGCAGGUCCCAAGGGUAUGGCUGUUCGCCAUUUAAAGAGGUACGCGAGCUGGGUUUAGAACGUCGUGAGACAGUUCGGUCCCUAUCUACCGUGGGCGCUGGAAAUUUGAGAGGAUCUGCUCCUAGUACGAGAGGACCAGAGUGGACGAACCUCUGGUGUACCGGUUGUGACGCCAGUCGCAUCGCCGGGUAGCUAUGUUCGGAAGGGAUAACCGCUGAAAGCAUCUAAGCGGGAAGCCUACCUCAAGAUAAGAUUUCCCUAGGACUUUAUGUCCUCUAAAGAGCCGUUCGAGACUAGGACGUUGAUAGGUUGGAUGUGGAAGCAUAGUGAUAUGUGAAGCUGACCAAUACUAAUUGCUCGUGAGGCUUGACUAU